rnacentral:rRNA from 1 species
AUUGAACGCUGGCGGCAGGCCUAACACAUGCAAGUCGAGCGAGUGGCGGACGGGUGAGUAAUGUAUGGGAAUCUGCCUGAUGGAGGGGGAUAACUACUGGAAACGGUGGCUAAUACCGCAUACCAUCGGAUGUACCCAUAUGGGAUUAGCUAGUAGGUGGGGUAAAGGCUCACCUAGGCGACGAUCCCUCGCUGGUCUGAGAGGAUGACCAGCCACACUGGAACUGAGACACGGUCCAGAGUCCUACGGGAGGCAGCAGUGGGGAAUAUUGCAAAAUGGGCGAAAGCCUGAUGCAGCCAUGGCGCGUGUAUGAAGAAGGCCUUAGGGUUGUAAAGUACUUUCAGCGGGGAGGCGUUACCCGCAGAAGAAGCACCGGCUAACUCCGUGCCAGCAGCCGCGGUAAUUC